GAUGAACGCUGGCGGCGUGCCUAAUACAUGCAAGUCGAGCGAACGGACGAGAAGCUUGCUUCUCUGAUGUUAGCGGCGGACGGGUGAGUAACACGUGGAUAACCUACCUAUAAGACUGGGAUAACUUCGGGAAACCGUAGCUAAUACCGGAUAAUAUUUUGCACCGCAUGGUUCAAAAGUGAAAGACGGUCUUGCUGUCAGUUAUAGAUGGAUCCGCGCUGGAUUAUCUAGUUGGUAAGGUAACGGCUUACCAAGGCUACGAUGCCUAGCCGACCUGGGAGGGUGACCGGCCAGACUGGAACUGAGGCACGGUCCAGACUGCUACGCGAGGCAGCCGUAGGGAAUCUGCCGCAGUGGGGGAAAGUCUAACGGAGCAGCGCCGCGGGAGUGAUGAAGGUCUUCGGAGCGUAAAACUCUGUUAUUAGGGAAGAACAUAUGUGUAAGAAGCUGUGCACAUCAUGGCAGUAGCUAAAGAGAAAGCCGCGGACAACGAC
rnacentral:rRNA from 1 species